rnacentral:lncRNA from 1 species
AAUUUAGUUUUAUUUAAUUUGUAUCUACAUUUUGAACCUAUAUAUAAAAAUAUUUUGAUUCAGUGACUGUAUCUAGCGCAAUUGGCUAAAGGCUUAAUGUUGAUAUAUUUCAGGUUUUAAGUUCAAAGCAUAGUUUCUUCACAUUUCUUGCUAAGUUUGUUUCUAAAAAAUUUGGACGAAGUGCAUAAUCUAAACAAACGUGAGAGCGAGUUCUCUAAUCACCUAGACUAUUAGGACAUGUUUAGUUCACGAUUGGAGCAGGAAUGAGAAAAGGACUGAUAAAAUAUUUAAAAAUAUUGUAUUCAUUAUUGAAAUAAAAAUCAAAAUGGAUAAUUAAUUGAGACAUCUAAAAUUUUGAAAGAGCGUUUUGAUUAAAAUGGAGGAAAAUGAUUAAUGUAGGGGAUCGAGAGAGGUGUUUGUGAAAGAAAAUUUUAAAUGAUGUACUCUACGAUGAGUCAAUUCAAAAUUUAAAGUCGAAUUAAAGUAUAAAUGAAUUGGAUCAUUUUCAUACCAGAAUAAAAUGAGAAUCGAAAUCUAAUUUCUAUAAAAAAAUUAAAUAAAUAACUCUCAAAACGGUUAAACGAUCAAUCAUGAUUAUGUACUUUUUUUUUUUUAAGAAAUAGAUAGCGAGCUACCCGCUUCACUGAUUAUGUACCUUAUUUAACAUUCCA